rnacentral:rRNA from 1 species
AGUGAACGCUGGCGGCAGGCCUAACACAUGCAAGUCGAGCGGCAGCGCGUCCGACCACCCUCGGGUGGUCGGAUGGCGGCGAGCGGCGGACGGGUGAGGAAUGCAUCGGAAUCUGCCUCGUUGUGGGGGAUAACGUAGGGAAACUUACGCUAAUACCGCAUACGACCUACGGGUGAAAGUGGGGGACCUUCGGGCCUCACGCGAUGAGAUGAGCCGAUGCCGGAUUAGCUAGUUGGCGGGGUAAAGGCCCACCAAGGCGACGAUCCGUAGCUGGUCUGAGAGGAUGAUCAGCCACACUGGAACUGAGACACGGUCCAGACUCCUACGGGAGGCAGCAGUGGGGAAUCUUAGACAAUGGGGGCAACCCUGAUCUAGCCAUGCCGCGUGAGUGAUGAAGGCCCUAGGGUUGUAAAGCUCUUUCAGCUGGGAAGAUAAUGACGGUACCAGCAGAAGAAGCCCCGGCUAACUCCGUGCCAGCAGCCGCGGUAAAG